CUGAGAGCGGUAGAGCCGGAGGUUGCAUAGCAAAUAAGAGGCAGGGCUAGGAUUCAAACCCAGCUCCUCACUGCUCUGCUCUACUCCCCAGAGAAUGUGCAGCUCAGCAGCCCAGGCCAGCCCAGGGGAAGACCCCAGGGUACUUGAUGCGGGGCCUGUGACCAAAUGGACAGAAGUCUUGAAGGAUGCAUUCAGUAUGGCUGGCUCUGACCUCUGACCUCCCUGCCGCAGGCCUGGAAGUCCCCCUGAAGAAAAAUCACGUAUGUGUGAGAUGAUCGUCCUUAUGAUGUGUAAUUCCAAUCUCCCCAAAUUCCUGGACUUUGAAGUCAUUUUUUUCUUCUUUCCCAUCAAUAGCCACAGGCAUUCGAGACAGAAGGAGGAGGGAAGAUGGCACAGUUUACUUGGUGUUUGUCAGUGAUAUGUUUUUCACGUCUUGUUUUGAUUAACUGAAAUAAUUUUCACUAUCCCCCAAACCAAACAGACCUUUAACUCCUGUUUUACAGCGUACGUGAUGUGCUUUGGACAGUCAUCAUGUUUAUGACACUUGACCAUUGUUUUUCUCUGGCUCCUAGAUGGGAUAGGACAGCCUCACAUUUCCCUCCAAGAUGUUCAUGUCUUCCGCCUGGGUGUUCUAAAAGGUUGUUCAUCCCCAACACACAUUUUGCAUCCCUGUUUGUCUCAAAUCUGCAUGAUUAAAUUUAAGAGCUGCCCUCCUCACUCCCAACAUAUGGACUGCAUCUCUGCAUGUACCUUUAGCUACCAUAGUCCUCAAACUGAAGUGUGUGUGAAAAUCACCAGAAGGUUUGUUCACACUCAGAUUGCUGGGCCUCAUCCCCAGGGGUUUGGAUUCACUAGGUUUAGGGUGGACAGAGAAUUUGCAUUUCUAGUGAAUUCACAGGGGAAGCCAGUGCUGCUGGUCUAGGGACGCCCCCUUGGGAAUGACUAUUGUAUGCUCUUCCUUUCCUUCUUGACUUCUAUCCCAGAUAAACAGGUGUCCCCUCACCUGUAUGUGGCUAAUCUCUCCUGCUGAAGACACUUAUCAUUUUCCCCGGAGCCUGGAUAUAAGAGUCAUUAUAAGCCAGGCCCUGGAGCUCCACCUCUUUAAUUAAGCGGUAAACCAGGCCGAGUCAGACCCUGCCCUCAUGGAAGCCUCACUGCAUGUGGGAAGAGAAGCAUCUCUGGGGGUGAGAAUAAAUGGGAUUAACUCUGAAUGGGUGAAAGCCUUUCUUUCACCAGACUGAUGAUGGGGAAUACAUGACAGAGUUUGUCUACAUGACGGUGAAUAUGGAUAGAUCCUGAAGUUGUCAGAUAAGCAAUCAAGUGAUUCCCCAAACAUCGGGACAGCUGAAGAGAACCUGACAUGUUCAAAUGAGGCAUUCCAGCAAAGGAUGCGUCUCCUUCUGCAAACUGACCCACGGGGCUCCACAGAAGUCAGCUUGUUAUUUGCCAAAUAGAAUUGUCUAUUCCUGGGGCACCUGGGUGGCUCAGUCACUUAAGAGUCAGGCCUUCGGUCGCUGUCCCAGGGUCCUAGGAUCGAGCCCCACAUAGGGCUCUCUGCUCAGUGUGAAGUCUGCUUCUCUU